rnacentral:rRNA from 1 species
ACACGACUACAUUAGAUACCCCGGUAGUCCUAGCCGUAAACGAUACUCGCUAGGUGUCGGCCACGGUGCGACCGUUGUCGGUGCCGUAGGGAAGCCGUGAAGCGAGCCACCUGGGAAGUACGGCCGCAAGGCUGAAACUUAAAGGAAUUGGCGGGGGAGCACCGCAACGGGAGGAGCGUGCGGUUCAAUUGGAUUCAACGCCGAAAAACUCACCAGGAGCGACGGACAUAUGAAGGUCAAGCUGAUGACUUUACCUGAUUUUCCG